rnacentral:lncRNA from 1 species
GUAUGGAAGGACUGUAAGGUGUACAUGUCCAACUGGCAGGUGUCAUCUGAACUUGACCUCAUUUUCAUGGUUCAGUGGUAAGUUAUAUUAAUCUGAAGAUCUGUUUACUUUUUUGUGAUGAUUCUUUAUCUUAUUUUAGAGUGAUCAUGUUUAUUAAAAAUACAUGUUGUGCCGUAUCUCAGAAACUAUUUAUGAUUAUUCCAUAAAUCUUCACACACUUUUUAGUUAUAUUAAAACCACAAAAGGAAGAUUCAGAUUUUUUUUUUUGGUGGUGAUGGUCCAAACUGUUUAGGAAUUACGGGCCAAGACCAGUAUUUUUCUAUCUAUAUCUAUAUAGUCAAUCUAGACUUCAAAAAAAGAGUGACGAAAGAUACCAGAGGAACAGUCAAACUUAUAAAUCAACUAAAAUAAAUUGACAACAUGCACCUGGCUAAAAAUAAAAAAGACAAACAAUAGAACACAUGACACAACAUAGGAAAAUAAAGAAUAAGCAACACGAAUCCCAUCAAAAAUUGGGGGUCAUCUCAGGUGCUCCGGAAUGGUAAGCAGAUUCUGCUCCACAUGUGGCACCCGUCAUGUUGCUUAUGUAAUAACAAGUCCGGUAAAUAGUCUAAUUUGGUAGGUCACAUUCAUGAAAGGGAAGGGGAUUGUAGUAACAACAUAAGGAACAUAUCCGAUAUCAUUUGUGAAACAGUUAUUUCAUAACUUCAACUUAUUAAUACCUCAAGUAGAAGGUUGCAUUGGGAUUUUCACACCAAAAUGUAUGUCGCUUGAAAAAUGUCUCACUGAGUCAUGAAAUGUUUACAGAUAUGGUGUGUCUGAAUGAUCUUGAUGUGAAUGUUUCUUUAAAUUUAAUUUCUUAUUGUCUGUUGAUAAGUUUAUCUUGCUGUUAAAAAGUGUUAUACAAUAGUAUAUAUACAUGUGUAUAUAUUUAAAAAACUGACUGCAUGACAAAUCUCAAGUGACUUAAGAAAAUAAUGUGAUUCUAAUUGUCUAGUUUAUUGAAAUAUUUUCUUCUUUUUUC